GGGCCUGAGACACCCCAGGGCACACCGUUGGCCCUUCCGGCUGCCAGGGCACACUGCCAGCUCAGAUUCAAGUUGUCAGCAACCACAACGCCCACAUCCCUCCCUUUUGGCAGGGCUGAUCUCCAGCCCCUCGCCCCCCCACUCUGUACGUACAGCCAGGGCUGCCGCAUCCCAGGUGCAGAACGCAGCGCUUGCUCUUUUUCAUGCAGAUGGGGACCACCCUCACAUUUCUCCACAUCUUGCUGCAAGGCCUCUCAACCCCCAAGGCAGUCAACAUUCCUCCCAGCUUCACAGCAACCACAAACUUACUUCAUACAACGGCCACAUCUUGACUGGAACCAACAGAGAAAGCAUUACAGAGAAAUGGCCUUCUAAGGGACCCCGCAGAAUCCCACUGCUGACCAGAAGGGCAGCUGUCAGGCCAUGGCUUCCCCUCGUCCCACACAGCCAUCUUUUACUUGACAUGGGACAUUCUUACCGUCACAUCGCCACGGCCUUACGAUGGCAUGAGCCACCUCCCUGCCAACCGCUAGAAAUACGGGAACCCUGACAACAGAACACCAGCUGAGAUGCAAGCCAGUGCAACCAAGGCAGGCCUGCUUUGGAAGGCCAACAUUCUAACUGGAAAAAAUGCUUUCCUGCACUACUUACUUUGGUGCAUUCUUUGCAAUGCCAUGGAGCUCAUUCUGCAACACAGGUAGACACUGCACUGAGCACAAUACAGUCCCAUGGAAAUGCCCAUUUGCAUUUCUUUCUUUUUUAAGCACGUUGCCAACCAAGAAAAAGCCUCCCGUGGGAUACAAAUAAAUUUGGCCUCAGGAGUCCUCUCCUUAGAGACUCUGCACAGCGCACUCUGGGGCUCUAAAGGGUCUCUUGCCAAAAGCAAAGCAGCCAGUCACACUCACAUGAGUUCAGGGUGCCUUCGGAGCUCAGAGAGCUUCAGCACUUCAGUCCUGCGGGAAGAACUCCAUCUGCAGCUUAAAACCACGGCUUGAUGCAGGUUCUUGCAGAGGAAAGUGACUGAACUUGGACUAGUGGAGGUGAAGCCUGAGCCAGCAGUUCUCCAAACUGCCUGGAGGAACUUCUCUGCCUGAAAAAUAGAUAACCUCAUGGCACGUACUGCCAAAAGACAGCUAGACACUGUACCGUUCUGUACGCUUGCACUGCGUUUGCAAGGAUCUGACCAAGGAAAAAAUGGUUUCUUCUGCAGCUAGCCAAAACAGGGGCUUCUUGGAGAGAGCAACAGCAUGCACACACUCUCUGCAAGCCCCCUGGCAUCCUUCUGCUGUGCUCAUGGAGCACCUGGAGUAAAGCAGGCACUGACUGCAUAGCUCGUGGGGACUACCACUGCUCAGAUAACAACCGAGUGCGUGAAGAAAUGUGGCAGGAGGAGCAGUGCAUUCAUAACGCAGCAACAAAGACUGGAGCACUGCUGAGACAGGUAGCAGAGCUCCUUCAUUAGUGGUCACUGUUAACCCCAUCCAGUCAGUGCUGAGCAAAACGAGGACUCUGCAAACUGCAGGUAAUAUUUCCUGCUGGCUCAGCUAUAGUCAUUUAUGCAGCUUUUAGGG
rnacentral:lncRNA from 1 species